rnacentral:rRNA from 1 species
GAGCCGGGUUUGAACUAGGAAGCUCCUAAUCUAGCUUAGUCUACUUUUAGAUUAGAUCUCAAAUCAGGUAGGAUUACCCGCUGAACUUAAGCAUAUCAAUAAGCGGAGGAAAAGAAACUAACAAGGAUUCCCCUAGUAGCGGCGAGCGAAGCGGGAAGAGCUCAAAUUUAUAAUCUGGCGCUUUCGGCGUCCGAGUUGUAAUCUCUAGAAGUGUUUUCCGCGUUGGACCGCACAUAAGUCUGUUGGAAUACAGCGGCACAGUGGUGAGACCCCCGUUCACGGUGCGGAUGCCCAAUGCUUUGUGAUACACUUUCGAAGAGUCGAGUUGUUUGGGAAUGCAGCUCAAAUUGGGUGGUAAAUUCCAUCUAAAGCUAAAUAUUGGCGAGAGACCGAUAGCGAACAAGUACCGUGAGGGAAAGAUGAAAAGCACUUUGGAAAGAGAGUUAACAGUACGUGAAAUUGUUGGAAGGGAAACGCUUGAAGUCAGACUUGCUAUUCGGGGCUUGCUCCGAGUUGCAGGCCAGCAUCAGUUUUUCGGGGCGGAAAAUCACGGAUUGAAGGUAGCAGUUUCGGCUGUGUUAUAGCUUUCCGUUGGAUACGUCCUGGGGGACUGAGGAACGCAGUGUGCUUUUAGCGAGGGCUUCG